AGAGUUUGAUCAUGGCUCAGAUUGAACGCUGGCGGCAGGCCUAACACAUGCAAGUCGAACGGUAACAGGAAGCAGCUUGCUGCUUCGCUGACGAGUGGCGGACGGGUGAGUAAUGUCUGGGAAACUGCCUGAUGGAGGGGGAUAACUACUGGAAACGGUAGCUAAUACCGCAUAAUGUCGCAGGACCAAAGAGGGGGACCUUCGGGCCUCUUGCCAUCAGAUGUGCCCAGAUGGGAUUAGCUUGUUGGUGAGGUAACGGCUCACCAAGGCGACGAUCCCUAGCUGGUCUGAGAGGAUGACCAGCCACACUGGAACUGAGACACGGUCCAGACUCCUACGGGAGGCAGCAGUGGGGAAUAUUGCACAAUGGGCGCAAGCCUGAUGCAGCCAUGCCGCGUGUAUGAAGAAGGCCUUCGGGUUGUAAAGUACUUUCAGCGGGGAGGAAGGUGUUGUGGUUAAUAACCGCAGCAAUUGACGUUACCCGCAGAAGAAGCACCGGCUAACUCCGUGCCAGCAGCCGCGGUAAUACGGAGGGUGCAAGCGUUAAUCGGAAUUACUGGGCGUAAAGCGCACGCAGGCGGUCUGUCAAGUCGGAUGUGAAAUCCCCGGGCUCAACCUGGGAACUGCAUUCGAAACUGGCAGGCUUGAGUCUUGUAGAGGGGGGUAGAAUUCCAGGUGUAGCGGUGAAAUGCGUAGAGAUCUGGAGGAAUACCGGUGGCGAAGGCGGCCCCCUGGACAAAGACUGACGCUCAGGUGCGAAAGCGUGGGGAGCAAACAGGAUUAGAUACCCUGGUAGUCCACGCCGUAAACGAUGUCUACUUGGAGGUUGUGCCCUUGAGGCGUGGCUUCCGGAGCUAACGCGUUAAGUAGACCGCCUGGGGAGUACGGCCGCAAGGUUAAAACUCAAAUGAAUUGACGGGGGCCCGCACAAGCGGUGGAGCAUGUGGUUUAAUUCGAUGCAACGCGAAGAACCUUACCUGGUCUUGACAUCCACAGAACCCUGUAGAGAUACGGGGGUGCCUUCGGGAACUGUGAGACAGGUGCUGCAUGGCUGUCGUCAGCUCGUGUUGUGAAAUGUUGGGUUAAGUCCCGCAACGAGCGCAACCCUUAUCCUUUGUUGCCAGCGGUCCGGCCGGGAACUCAAAGGAGACUGCCAGUGAUAAACUGGAGGAAGGUGGGGAUGACGUCAAGUCAUCAUGGCCCUUACGACCAGGGCUACACACGUGCUACAAUGGCGCAUACAAAGAGAAGCGACCUCGCGAGAGCAAGCGGACCUCAUAAAGUGCGUCGUAGUCCGGACUGGAGUCUGCAACUCGACUCCAUGAAGUCGGAAUCGCUAGUAAUCGUGGAUCAGAAUGCCACGGUGAAUACGUUCCCGGGCCUUGUACACACCGCCCGUCACACCAUGGGAGUGGGUUGCAAAAGAAGUAGGUAGCUUAACCUUCGGGAGGGCGCUUACCACUUUGUGAUUCAUGACUGGGGUGAAGUCGUAACAAGGUAACCGUAGGGGAACCUGCGGUUG
rnacentral:rRNA from 2 species